CUCUCUCUCUCUCUCUCUCUCUCUCUCUCUCUCUCUUCUGUCGGUGUCUUUCUGCAGGGAAAGUGAUGAGGUUGUCUAUGGAAGGGAAGGAGAUGGAAGAAGGAGAUGUUAAAGGUGAAAUGGGUUGUGCCUGGCUCCCUGUAUGCCACACGCAUAGACCCAUCUGUUUAUUGAUCGGCUACUGUGGGUGGCGUGCGAGGAGCCAAGCAUACCCUCUCUCUCUCUCUCUCUCUCUCUCUCUCUCUCUCUCUCUCUCUCUCUCUCUCAGCACACAAAAUAAUCCAUGCAUACAAGCUCUCUCUUUCUCUCACAUGCACACCAACACCCACAAAGGCACACCGUUGAUUAGUAUGUACAAUCUCUUAGCCAUCCAUCAAUCAAUCAAUUCCUAGGUUUCUUCACUAGUAUGCAUUUUUGUGGAGUAACAAAAACAGAAGGGAAGUGGCUCUACUUUCUUUCUUUCGAUCUCAUCUUUCCACCAUUUUUUGGUCUUUCUGAUUUACUGACAAUAAUGAUUUUAUAGUAUACAGUCAUGAAUGUUUUGAGAUGACAAUAGGUUUUGAUUCCUUUGUCAAUAUUACAACUCAAGAUUCAACUAUGAAUCUAUGUUUUUGGUCACUCUGUCAUUCACACUCAUACAAAAGAAUCAGGUUUUAUAUUCAAGCAGUGACUUAUAGAGACAUGAAGGUACGUGCCAAAUACAAUUAUCCCUCACCACACAAUCAUUUCUAGACUACAAAUCACAAAACCCAUAUUGAUUUGUAAAGACGUGUACAAAGGACUCACUCUCUCUCUCUCUCUCUCUCUCUCUCUCUCUCUCUCUCUCUCUCUCGUCACACAAUCAUAUCUAGACCAAAAAUCACAAAACCCAUUGUGGUUUGUUAAAGAUGUGUACAAAGGUUGCCUUGUGAAAUGCAAUUGGUGAUAUGAAAUACAUGCUCCCCAAACGAUGGUGCAUUUUUCAUGGAUCCCCCGCUGUGAUUGCUCCAGGGUUAGGUUCUGUCCGGGUCUUCGAUCGUAUCAUAUCCAGGCUAAUUGGGUCUGGGUCUUUGCACUUCAGAUCCUUUCAAGUUUGAUUAGAUUUGGUUAGUCAUCCGGUCCUUCGGCACACAUAUGCCAUUCUUUAAUAGGCUCUCUAGCACGUUUUGGGCUCGGGCUCAGCAAACCUUAUUUCAUAUUUAUGAGUAGUGUAUGUAUUUAUGUUUCUGUGUGCGUAUUCUUUAGUAUUGCUAGAAUACAUCCCAGUGUAUUGGGAUAUGAUCGAUUUGGACUCUAGCCUUUGAAUCUAAGGUUACUUAUAAGGAUUUAAAUAGUUUACACUA